rnacentral:rRNA from 1 species
UCAGUAUCGAAGCAAACGCGUUAAGUGUCCCGCCUGGGGAGUACGCACGCAAGUGUGAAACUCAAAGGAAUUGACGGGGGCCCGCACAAGCGGUGGAGUAUGUGGUUUAAUUCGAUGCAACGCGAAGAACCUUACCAGGGAUUGACAUCCUACGAAUCACUUUGAAAGGAGUGAGUGCCUUCGGGAACGUAGAGACAGGUGGUGCAUGGCUGUCGUCAGCUCGUGUCGUGAGAUGUUGGGUUAAGUCCCGCAACGAGCGCAACCCUCGUCCUUAGUUGCCAUCAUUAAGUUGGGCACUUUAAGGAGACUGCCGGUGACAAACCGGAGGAAGGUGGGGAUGACGUCAAGUCAUCAUGCCCCUUACAUCCUGGGCUACACACGUACUACAAUGCAACGGACAAAGGGCAGCCAACUAGCGAUAGUGCGCAAAUCCCAUAAACCGUUGCUCAGUUCAGAUUGCAGGCUGCAACUCGCCUGCAUGAAGGCGGAAUCGCUAGUAAUCGCAGGUCAGCAUACUGCGGUGAAUACGUUCCCGGGCCUUGUACACACCGCCCGUCACACCAUGGAAGUUGGCCACGCCCGAAGUCGUUACCCCAACCGUUUACGGAGGGGGACGCCGAA